rnacentral:rRNA from 1 species
CGCGCAGGUGGUUCUUUAAGUCUGAUGUGAAAGCCCACGGCUCAACCGUGGAGGGUCAUUGGAAACUGGGGAACUUGAGUGCAGAAGAGGAAAGUGGAAUUCCAAGUGUAGCGGUGAAAUGCGUAGAGAUUUGGAGGAACACCAGUGGCGAAGGCGACUUUCUGGUCUGUAACUGACACUGAGGCGCGAAAGCGUGGGGAGCAAACA